AGCUAACCAGUCAGCGACAAGCACGUGUUUUCGUAAAAGUAAAACCCAAACCAAAACCCCACUCACAACGAAGCUGGUAGAAAGAAAGAGCGAUUCAGUGCGAAAGUGAAAGCUAUCGAUGGCGUCAGGCGGCAACGGCGGAGGUCUGGAGUGGCACGUGCGGCCUCCAAACCCUAAGAAUCCAAUCGUCUUCUUCGAUAUUACCAUCGGUACAAUUCCUGCCGCUCGUAUCAAAAUGGAACUCUUCACCGACAUUGCCCCUAAAACCGCUGAAAAUUUCAGGCCGUUGUGCACCGGUGAGUUCAGAACACAAAAGCAGGAUUGCCUGUUGGUUACAAGGGAUGCCAGUUCCAUAGAGUGAUAAAGGAUUUUAUGAUUCAAGCGGGUGAUUUUGUCAAGCCAAAAAACAAUUAGAGAGACUUCUAAAUAGAGGGUUGCGAUAGUCUGACAGGUCUACCUGAAGGUAUCCAAUUAAAAUACUUGACUAUAAACGACUGUGACCAAUUGGUAGAAAGAUACAGAAACAACAUGAGUAUUGUCUGGCCAAAGAUGCUCAUGUUCCAAAUAUUCUCAUUGAUUAUGAGCGGAUUCACAAAGAGGGCCAGUAUCUAUUGAAUUAGAGCAUAACUACUUCCUCAUAUCUUUGCCCAGACAGAGUAAAUGAAUUAUUCUGCGGAUCUUCUUUCGCAUAGCAAUUCACAGCGUACCCACAAUUGUACAGGAAUAAUUUAGGAUAACUUAAUCGGGUGGAAGCAAGAAAUGUGUCAAAGGGGCUUAAAGCAUUCAUUUGAACUCACUUCGUGGAGGCCUCUCCUAUUGCUUGAAUGAUUUUGCAUUUUGGUCAAAAAUAAAAUUGUAACAGUUGAUCAGAAAAGACUUUGUGAUUUACUAAAUCCAGAAUGAAUAUCAUUCAAUUUUCUUGAUUCUACUCUCGAUGAUGGAUGAAGCAUGGCAUACAUUGCUAAAACAAAGGUUAAACUUUGUCGAAUUAUUGUUUAGAAGGAGUUUCUUGAUUUCUGUUCUAUUUCUAAACUUGUGUGGGUCUCUGCUAAUUUUUACGUUCACUCAGUUUCAGUCAAACAUAUGAGCUUUUAACUUCUUCUGAUUGGGACAGCUAUCAGUAAGGAUUACUCUACUAAUGCUUGAAGAAGCUUAUAGCAUAAGUUUGGUGAUGGACCUGCUGGACAGUUAAGCAUCAUGAUUCUGACUGCUUCACCAUAAAGUGUGCAUGUAGUAGCCAACUAAUGGGUAAUAUAUAUCAUUCUCUGUUUUCAUUUCUUUUUCUGCCGCAUUCUUGUGGUUACAAAUAUGCAUAACAAACUUAAUGUAUAUAUUAAUCUGAAAACAUUUAGUUUACUAAAGGCAUGUUUGUUUGUUUCUUACUUUUCGGAAAUUUAUUCGCGACAUGUUUGGUACUAAUGGAUUGAAGCAAGAUAUUUUUCCGUCUCAAAUGUUGAGCUAAAUCCAAUUGUAAUUUCUUUAUUUACUUUUCUUGUAUCCUUCAACAUUAACUUGCUUCUAUGAUUUGAUGAAGACUACAUAUUAUGAUUGUAUUGCAGAAAUAACAUUUAUUUUGUGGCCUAACGAGAAUAAGGUGGCUGGAUUAUUCAUCGACCCAGAGAACUUCAAGAAACAAGGUUUGUGAGGCAAUUAAUAGAAUGCCAGAAAAGCAAUGUGGCCGGUUAAUGGGCGUAUCUGGCACCUUUGAGCUAACUGUUGGGAAGACCUUACUGUUUGCUUAGUCAAGAGUUAUGCAAGUACUAAGAACACUUGCUGAUUCUGCAAUCGAGGGUGAUAUUUCUAAAAUUAAGUCAAUUUUUCUCUAGAAACUUUGUUCCAGGAAUGGACUGCAAAAAUAAAACUGCAGUGUGGAGAGUUGGCUAGGAUCACUCACUUCUGCAAGCAUAAUUUUUGUCCAUUGCAAAUAAAGCUUGAGGAGUACGGUCUUGCUAGAAGUAACGGUACAAGCUUAGGUGCUUUAAAUUUUAGGACUGCUACACUUAUACAAGAAUUGGAAAACAUUGGCUAAAAUUUAUUCGGGACAUGCAUUAUGUGUAUCAAUGCUUCCAAGCGAGACAUUCUUCCAUAUGAAAUGUUGAG